rnacentral:SRP_RNA from 1 species
GCUGGGUGUGGUAGUGGGCGCCUGUAAUCACAGCUACUUGGGAGGCUGAGGCAGGAGAAUCGCUUGAACCCAGAGGCAGAGGUUGCCGUGAACCGAGAUUGUGCCACUGCACUCCAGCCUGGUCAAUAAGAGCAAAAAUCUGUGAAAAACGAGAGAGAGAGAGAGAGAGAGAAUUUUUUUUUUUUUUAAGAUGGGGUCUCGCUCUGUCGCUAGGCUGGAGUGCAGUGGCACAAUCUCUGCUCACUGCAACCUCUGCCUCCUGGGUUCAGGUGAUUCUUCUGCCUCGG